rnacentral:tRNA from 1 species
AUGAUUGUAACUCAAUUGGCAGAGUAUAGAAUUGUGGUUUCUAUAGUUGUGGGUUCGAACCCCAUCAAUCAUC